UACGGGGGGAGCAAGCGUUGUUCGGAUUUACUGGGCGUAAAGAGCGCGCAGGCGGUCGUUCAAGUCGCGCGGGAAAGCCCCCGGCUCAACUGGGGAGGGUCACGCGAUACUGAUCGACUGGAAGGCAGGAGAGGGUAGUGGAAUUCCCGGUGUAGUGGUGAAAUGCGUAGAUAUCGGGAGGAACCCCAGUGGCGAAGGCGACUACCUGGCCUGUUCUUGACGCUGAGGCGCGAAAGCUAGGGGAGCAAACGGG
rnacentral:rRNA from 1 species